GAUGAACGCUGGCGGCGUGCCUAAUACAUGCAAGUCGAGCGAACGGACGAGAAGCUUGCUUCUCUGAUGUUAGCGGCGGACGGGUGAGUAACACGUGGAUAACCUACCUAUAAGACUGGGAUAACUUCGGGAAACCGGAGCUAAUACCGGAUAAUAUUUUGAACCGCAUGGUUCAAAAGUGAAAGACGGUCUUGCUGUCACUAAUAGAUGGAUCCGCGCUGCAUUAGCUAGUUGGUAAGGUAACGGCUUACCAAGGCAACGAUGCAUAGCCGACCGGAGAGGGUGAUCGGCCACACUGGAACUGAGACACGGUCCAGACUCCUACGGGAGGCAGCAGUAGGGAAUCUUCCGCAAUGGGCGAAAGCCUGACGGAGCAACGCCGCGUGAGUGAUGAAGGUCUUCGGAUCGUAAAACUCUGUUAUUAGGGAAGAACAUAUGUGUAAGUAACUGUGCACAUCUUGACGGUACCUAAUCAGAAAGCCACGGCUAACUACGUG
rnacentral:rRNA from 1 species